AGAACGAACGCUGGCGGCAGGCUUAACACAUGCAAGUCGAGCGCCCCGCAAGGGGAGCGGCAGACGGGUGAGUAACGCGUGGGAACAUACCCUCCGGUUCGGAAUAGCUCAGGGAAACUUGGAUUAAUACCGGAUACGGCCUAGCGGCGAAAGAUUCAUCGCCGGAGGAUUGGCCCGCGUUCGAUUAGCUAGUUGGUGAGGUAACGGCUCACCAAGGCGACGAUCGAUAGCUGGUCUGAGAGGAUGAUCAGCCACAUUGGGACUGAGACACGGCCCAAACUCCUACGGGAGGCAGCAGUGGGGAAUAUUGGACAAUGGGCGCAAGCCUGAUCCAGCCAUGCCGCGUGAGUGAUGACGGCCUUAGGGUUGUAAAGCUCUUUCGCUAGGGACGAUAAUGACGGUACCUAGACAAGAACGCCCGGCUAACUUCGCGCCAGCAGCCGC
rnacentral:rRNA from 1 species